AUUGAACGCUGGCGGCAGGCCUAACACAUGCAAGUCGAACGGUAACAGGAAGCAGCUUGCUGCUUUGCUGACGAGUGGCGGACGGGUGAGUAAUGUCUGGGAAACUGCCCGAUGGAGGGGGAUAACUACUGGAAACGGUAGCUAAUACCGCAUAACGUCGCAAGCCCAAAGAGGGGGACCUUAGGGCCUCUUGCCAUCGGAUGUGCCCAGAUGGGAUUAGCUAGUAGGUGGGGUAACGGCUCACCUAGGCGACGAUCCCUAGCUGGUCUGAGAGGAUGACCAGCCACACUGGAACUGAGACACGGUCCAGACUCCUACGGGAGGCAGCAGUGGGGAAUAUUGCACAAUGGGCGCAAGCCUGAUGCAGCCAUGCCGCGUGUAUGAAGAAGGCCUUCGGGUUGUAAAGUACUUUCAGCGGGGAGGAAGGGAGUAAAGUUAAUACCUUUGCUCAUUGACGUUACCCGCAGAAGAAGCACCGGCUAACUCCGUG
rnacentral:rRNA from 1 species